rnacentral:tRNA from 1 species
GGCGCGGUGGUGCAGUGGCCUAGCACAUCUGCCUUUCACGCAGAAGACCGCGGGUUCGAAUCCCGUCCGCGCUA